GGAACAGAUGUGGCUCAGUGGUAGAGCAUCUCCUUGACAUGCAGAAGAUCCCAGGUUCAAUUCCUGGCACCUCCA